GAAAUGCGAUAAGUAGUGUGAAUUGCAGAAUUCAGUGAAUCAUCGAAUCUUUGAACGCACAUUGCGCCCCUCGGUAUUCCGUGGGGCAUGCCUGUUCGAGCGUCAUCUACACCCUCAAGCUCUGCUUGGUGUUGGGCGUCUGUCCCGCCUCCGCGCGCGGACUCGCCCCAAAUGCAUUGGCAGCGGUUCCUUGCCCCCCUCUUUGCGCAGCACAUUGCCAUUCGAGGCGGCGGCGGCCCGCGUCCAACAAGCUCAACCCCCCCGUCUUUGACCUCGGAUCAGGUAGGGAUACCCGCAGAACACAAGC
rnacentral:misc_RNA from 1 species